AUGACUGGGGAGGUGAACAACUACUAUUUGCUUCCCGAAGAACCCGACCCCUUGCGCACCUUGCAUCAUAAGGAUAGCAUCGCCAAGGUGAUGUUUCUCGCAGCCGUGGCUAAACCAAGAUACGACAAAGGUGGUGAGGUCACUUUUGAUGGAAAGCUCGGCAUUUGGGCUUUUGUCACAGAGUCUCCUGCUCAAAGAACCAGUGAUAAUAGAGAUAAAGGGACGCUCGAGCUCAAAUCACACGAGAUGUAA
rnacentral:rRNA from 1 species